CCCGGAGGCACAGCCCUGUCUCCAUGUCAUUUCUGACCUUCUCUCACAACUCUACCCUAGGUAACGAUGCUCAGAAAAGCAGCCAAUCAGGAGGUUUGUUUUCUGUUCCCUUUUAGCACUUCUAACUCAGGCAGACAAACCAGUUUGAACCAGCUAGAGCAUCCAAGCCUUUUCUGGACUACACUCAAAGUCUAUGGAUCUUCAGUUAGCUUCAAGGCUGCAAACUAAUACCCACAUGUGCCAGCCAAAACAACAUUUUUCCCCUCUGCUGUGUUAUUCCUAUUCAGGGUUGUAAUAUGACCCAUCUGAAACCCCAUCGUAUAAAGUUUGUGCAAGAGAACAUAAAGCUGAUCCGUGCCUAUGAAGCACCAACUUGAGAAGAUCUUUUGUAGAUCAAAUGGCUCUGUCAUCAUGCCUAUUUUGAUCAUAUCACGUUGCCAUCACUCACAGAUUGACAGCAGUCUGACGCACAUGUUUCAUAUCCAGCUUCUAAGACAGUGCUUAGGGCACCGAACACCUUCAACAGUGUAAAUGGCACAAAAGCAACUGCUGUUAAAAUGUCUCCUAGUGGAUGUGGCCAAGGCCUCCAUCAAACCAGCUGCUGCUCAGGAGCCGAGGGCUGCACCUCCGGAUGAGGUGUGCUGUUCAGAAAGCUGUAUGAAGACGGCACCACUACUGCUGCUGAGGAGUGCACACCGCCCUCAGAAACCAGCAUUCUAGAACUUCCAGAUCCUUAAGCAAGUCUAUGGUCCUCUCAGAAACCGUAUCUCCGGCAGAACACACUGGAGCCUGGGAAACUACCCUGACACGGGUCCUCAUUUUCAUUCCUUGCGCACCUGAAUGGCUGCCAGGACCAGAAAAGACUCUAGAGCCCCUAGCUCUUAAACACAAAA